GAUGAACGCUGGCGGCGUGCUUAACACAUGCAAGUCGAACGAAGCUGCUUAACUGAUCUUCUUCGGAAUUGACGUUUUGUAGACUGAGUGGCGGACGGGUGAGUAACGCGUGGGUAACCUGCCCUGUACAGGGGGAUAACAGCCAGAAAUGACUGCUAAUACCGCAUAAGACCACAGCACCGCAUGGUGCAGGGGUAAAAACUCCGGUGGUACAGGAUGGACCCGCGUCUGAUUAGCUGGUUGGUGAGGUAACGGCUCACCAAGGCGACGAUCAGUAGCCGGCUUGAGAGAGUGAACGGCCACAUUGGGACUGAGACACGGCCCAAACUCCUACGGGAGGCAGCAGUGGGGAAUAUUGCACAAUGGGGGAAACCCUGAUGCAGCGACGCCGCGUGAGUGAAGAAGUAUCUCGGUAUGUAAAGCUCUAUCAGCAGGGAAGAAAAUGACGGUAC
rnacentral:rRNA from 1 species